AGCUUCUGCGUUUUACGUGCUUUCUUGGUCUGUACUGUACUACUUUUCAUGUGCUCUUUUUGUGUGCUCUCUGACUGCACAGGAGCAUGGGAGACAUUGUUUGACCUUAUCGGUGGUUGUACCUUUGUUGGACAAGUUGUGGUGCGUAGGCUUGAGAAAUGUCUUGCUCUCCUCCUGUUCUCUAUGUAUUUAUUGUUUAUGCUAGGAGAACUGGUCAGGGUAGAUUACUUCCUGGGUUAUAUGGUUCCUUAACCUUGUAGUUGACAAGUUUACUAGUUGUUGAGUGUGAAUAUGUCCUAGAUUUUACGAGGAUCUUCUCCCAUUUGGAGUUUCUUGGUGAUUGUUCCAUGGCCCCCCGCCCGGAUCAUCGUUAGAGCUGUAUUUUGUCUUCUUUUGUUGCUCAGUACAUGGGUAUGACAUACUUGGUGCAAUAUUUUCCUGUGUGAGAGACCCUUGUAACUCCGCCUGCCAGGUCAGCCGGUCCCAAGCCCGGAAAAAGGAGGAGGGCAAGUAUUUGUUGAGUAUUUUUUUAUUUUCAUCACUCCGAUCACAGUAGUAGGGUACCGCUGCAACCUUUCCUGUGUAACCCUUGCUGGGCCUCAAAUCAGCCUGUUGAAAAAGGAGUGGGGAAUGUUAGAAGGAUGCUGCACAGCACUUAAAGCCGUUGGUUUAGUUGUGCGCGCACAUGGUAAUAGAGGCGUGCUGCAUAAAAAGAACUGCGUAAGGCGAAGAAAGCAUGGGAGGACUUUGUGUCAUGGGCAGAUCUACAUGUAAUUCAGGGGUUUUUCGAACCUCUUCCGUUGGAAAAUGUAAUUCAGGGGUUUUUCGAACCUCUUCCGUUGGAAAAUUACAUUGUAUACAUAAGAUCAAAAUUUGAUUUACGAUAUAUAUGUUAAGUACUUUUGACACGAAAUUAAUACUUGGUUUAGUGUUGCAGGGGGUAAAAUUUCUCAAUCCACGGCUCUCUCAACCCAAGACAAGAGGUCAAGAGGCAGAGUCUAUAUGGUUGAUCAAAAUUUUGAUUUACGGUAUAUAUGUUGAGUACUGAACUUUCUCGACACAAAAUUAAAACUUGGUUCAGUGGUGAAGGGUUGUAAAAUUUCUCAAUUCGUGUGGGUUCAAGUUUGUGUAACAUUUUUUUAAAAAAUUUUUUAUAUUGACUUUUGAAUUAAAUCCCUAGUUAACUUUUUAUAUUACCAACAAAAUUUCUUCUUUGUUAUUGUAACAACAAAAUAUUACCAAUGUAACUGAAUAUGAAGACUCAAAUUUUUUAAAUUAUUAUCCAUGAGGAAAAUUGUUAACGAAAUACCAACAACGUUUCUUCUCUGUUAUUGUAACAACAAAAUAUUACCAAUGUAACUGAAUAUGAAGACUCAAAUUUACUAACUUCUUUUUCAUUCGUUAGGCAAGAUACUAUAUGCUAACAAUAUACCAACCAAAUUUUGAUUGGUAAUUUACCAACCAAGAAAGGCUGUAAGGCGAAGCGAAUCUGGAAAAGAUUGCCUCAGUUCGGAUUGUUCUCUGCAACUUGGGAACAUGAAGUUGGAAUUGCUAGUAAUCGCGGAUCAGCGUGCCGCGGUGACUAUGUACCGGGGCCCUGUACACACCGUUCUUCACACCUUGGGAAUUGGUUUCGCCCGAAGCAUCGGACCAAUGAUCACCCAUGACUUCUGUGGCACACUAGUGCCACAAAGGCCUUUGGUGGUCUUAUUGGCGCAUACCAUGGUG